rnacentral:lncRNA from 1 species
CUUGCUUUAUUUCGUAUCUGCAUCAAUAACAGUGUCGAGAAUAGGAAAGAAAAAUAUAAGAGUUAUGAAUUGAAAAGGAUGAUAAAAAUUUAGAUUGGCAGGUCAUAAAAGUUGAAAGCUCUCAACCAGAUGCAAGAAUUUUAAGGAUUUUAGGUAAAAAUACCAUUGAAAUAAAAAAGAGGUAAACAUGCAUUCAAAUAGAAGCAAACAAUGUGAAUCAUUCAGAACUUGUAGUCAAGAACCUUACACAACCAUGAGUAGGCUAAGGCCUGUAUAUUUCUAUGAACUGCUGUCCAUGCAAUAAAAGACGUGGAUCAAAUAUGGCAACAUAUAAGUCAGACUGUUAAUUAAUAAAAUUUCUGCAAUUCAAGGUAAAAUGCAGACAAGGAAAUGAGGUUGAGUUUAAAAUGUAAUGCAAAUACUUACGACAACCCAGGUAUUUCCGAAAUAUGUGUUCCGUUAGAAAAUAAAACAGCAAAAGUUGGCAAGACCU